UUGAUUUAUUCAAAAUUUUAACUCAGACGACCGGUUUAAUUAACAAGAGUUUGGUUUAACUCCGGCGGGCGCUCGCCGCGGGGGACUGGUCCCCCAGGCGGCUCGAGACCGAGCGGUCCCGCCAAAGCAACAAGGUAGUUUUAACAACAAAGGGUUGGAGGUCGGGCGCUGAGCACCCUUACUCUUUAAUGAUCCUUCCGCAGGUUCACCUACGGAAA
rnacentral:misc_RNA from 1 species